AGGAUACAGCCAGAGUCAUUGAAUCCAAGGAACCCAAGUGCAAUAGCAAUUUAUCCAGACUAUGGAACUGGAUGGCCCCAUGUUGGUUAUAUAUUGCUUCUGAACUAUGCAAGUAUCUGCACCCAUUAAUUGCUGCAGGAGAUGUCAUGGAUGUCUAUGUUCAGCAUAUCAAGUAUAGGGUUGACUUUUUUAAAAUAGGAUUUUAUCCAAAAAUUAAGUUUCAUAGAGACAUGGUUAGUGCAUGGGAGACUCAAGUGGUAGGAAAAGCAUGAGUGUAUGUUGACAGAUGUUUUUUAUAUAAAUAAUAGCAACUAUGUUUAGCAAGUUAUUGAAGUGCAUUUAUUUCAAUUGGCUAACUUUUUAGAUUUUUUCCAGCAUUUUUUAA